CGGCAUCAGCUCAAAUUUGAAAUCUGGGUCUUUCAGGCUCCGAGUUGUAAUUUGUAGAGGGAUCUUCGGAUGUGGUCCGGCCUAAGUUUCUUGGAACAGAACGUCAUAGAGGGUGAGAAUCCCGUAUGUGGCUGGGUGCCUAUAUCCAUGUGAAGUCCUUUCGAC
rnacentral:rRNA from 1 species